UACGGAGGAUCCAAGCGUUAUCCGGAUUUAUUGGGUUUAAAGGGUGCGUAGGCGGAUUAAUAAGUCAGUGGUGAAAGCCUGCAGCUUAACUGUAGAAUUGCCAUUGAUACUGUUAAUCUUGAAUUCAGUUGAGGUAGGCGGAAUGUGUCAUGUAGCGGUGAAAUGCUUAGAUAUGACACAGAACACGGAUUGCGAAGGCAGCUUGCUAAACUGAUAUUGACGCUGAGGCACGAAAGCGUGGGGAGCGAACAGG
rnacentral:rRNA from 1 species